rnacentral:rRNA from 1 species
UUGUCUGCUGGCUCGCAAGGGCAUGUGCACGCCUGUCUCAUCCACUCUCAACUUCUGUGCACUUUUCAUAGGCCGGCUUGUGGGUGCGUUCGCGCACUUGUAGGUGUCGGGCUUAUGCUUUACUACAAACGAUUCAGUUUUAGAAUGUCAUACUUUGCUAUAACGCAAUUAUAUACAACUUUCAGCAACGGAUCUCUUGGCUCUCGCAUCGAUGAAGAACGCAGCGAAAUGCGAUAAGUAAUGUGAAUUGCAGAAUUCAGUGAAUCAUCGAAUCUUUGAACGCACCUUGCGCUCCUUGGUAUUCCGAGGAGCAUGCCUGUUUGAGUCUCAUGGAAUUCUCAACCUUCAGCUUUAUUGAUGAAGGCUUGGACUUGGAGGUCGUGCCGGCUCUCGUAGUCGGCUCCUCUGAAAUGCAUUAGUGCGAACGUUACCAGCCGCUUCAGCGUGAUAAUUAUCUGCGUUGCUGUGGAGGGUAUUCUAGUGUUCACGCUUCUAACCGUCUUCGGACAAAUUUCUGAACUCUGAGCUCAAAUCAGGUAGGACUACCCGCUGAACUUAAGCA